rnacentral:rRNA from 1 species
GACGUAGGGUGCGAGCGUUGUCCGGAAUUACUGGGCGUAAAGAGCGCGCAGGCGGUCGGCCAAGUCGAGUGUGAAAGCCCCCGGCUCAACUGGGGAGGGUCAUUCGAUACUGGUCGACUCGAAGGCAGGAGAGGGAAGCGGAAUUCCCGGUGUAGUGGUGAAAUGCGUAGAUAUCGGGAGGAACACCAGUGGCGAAGGCGGCUUCCUGGCCUGUUCUUGACGCUGAGGCGCGAAAGCUAGGGGAGCAAACGGG